rnacentral:lncRNA from 1 species
UUUUUUUUGGUUUUCCAUGCAACGGUUCCCAAAAGUGGCAUCAUGAGCCAGGUCUAUGCGUAGAUGAUAUGCGCGAGUCGAACACAAAGAGUUGUGGGCAGUGAUAGUCAUACUGCUUACCACCAACAUCUUAUUUUGAUUCGGCGGCAUUGUGGGAUGAAGCAGCCCAGACCGACCUUACAUGUCCACGCACAUGAGACCGGUUCCACCGACUGACAUGCAACUAGUUUUGCAUAAAGGUGGCUGGCGGGUGUCUAUUUCUCCUACUUUAGUUGAAUCGAAUUUGACUGUGGCCGGUCCUUGAAGAAGGUUAAACAACAAACUUGAUAAUUCACCAUUGUGGUUUUUGCCGUAGGUAAGAACGGUUCUUGCUAGAAGCCUGUAGCAGCCACGUAAAACUUGCAACAACAAAUUAGAGGACGUCUAACUUGUUUUUGCAGGGCAUGUUGUGAUGUGAUAUGGUCAAGACAUGAUGUGAUAAACGUUAUUGUAUGAGAUGAUUAUGUUCUGCAAGAUAUCUGGCAACCGGCAGGAGCCUUAUGGUUGUCUCUUUAUUGUAUGAAAUGCAAACGCCAUGUAAUCGCUUUACUUUAUAACUAUGUGUUAGCGAUAGUUGUAGAAGCAAUAGUUGGUGAGACGACCACGACGCUACGAUGGAGAUCAAGGUGUCGAGCUGAUGACGAUGGAGAUCAUGACGAUGCUUUGGAGAUGGAGAUCAAAAGCACAAGAUGAUGAUGCCAUAUCAUGUCACAUUUUUUGAUUACAUGUGAUGUUUAUCUUUUAUGCAUCUUAUUUUGCUUAGAACCACGGUAGCAUUAUAAGAUGAUCCCUUCACUAAAUUUCAAGGUAAAAUUGUUCUCCCUAAGUAUGCACCAUUGCUACAGUUCAUCGUUUCGAGACACCACGUGAUGAUCGGGUGUGAUAGACUCUACGUUCACAUACAACGGGUGCAAGGCAGUUUUGCACAUGCGGAAUACUUGGGUUAAACUUGACGAGCCUAGCAUGUACAAACAUGGCCUUGGAACACUGGAGACCGAAAGGUUGAACGUGAAUCAUGUAGUAGAUAUGAUCAACAUAGAGAUGUUCACCAUUGAUGACUACCCCAUCUCACGUGAUGAUCGGACAUGGGUUAGUUGAUUUGGAUCAUGUUUCACUUAGAUGACUUGAGGGAUGUCUAUUUAAGUGGGAGUUCUUAAGUAAUUUGAUUAAUUGAACUUAAUUUAUCAUGAACUUAGUCAUGACAGUAUUUGCAUAUCUAUGUUGUAGAUCAACAGCUCACGUUUUAGCUCCCUUAGUUUUUGAUAUGUUCCUAGAGAAAACUAAGUUGAAAGAUGAUAGUAGCAAUGAUGCGGACUGGGUCGGUGAUCUGAGGAUUAUCCUCAUUGCUGCACAGAAGAAUUAUGUCCUUGAUGCACCGCUACAUGACAAACCUACUGCAGGAGCAGAUGUAGACGUUAUGAAUGUUUGACAAGCUCGAUAUGAUGACUACUUGAUAGUUUAGUGCACAAUGCUAUGCAGCUUAGAAUCGGGGCUUCAAAGACAUUUUGAGCGCCAUGGAACAUAUGAGAUGUUCCAAGAGCUGAAAUUGGUAUUUCAGACUUAUGUCUGUGUUGAGAGGUAUGAGACCUCUCACAAGUACUUUGCCUACAAGAUGGAGGAGAAUAGUUCAGCCAGUGAGCAUGUACUCAGAAUGUCUGGGUACGACAAUCACUUGAAUUAAGUGGGAGUUAAUCUUCCAGAUAAGAUAGUGAUUGACAGAAUUAUCUAGUCACUAUCAUCAAGCUACUGGAACUUCAUGAUGAACUAUAAUAUGCAAGGGAUGGCAAAAACAAUUCCCAAGCUCUUCGCGAUGCUGAAAUCGGCGAAGGUAAAAAUCAAGAAAGAGCAGCAAGUGUUGAUGAUUAAUAAGACCACUAGUUUCAAGAAAAAGGGAAAGGGGAAGAAAGGGAACUUCAACAAGAAUGGCAAGCAAGUUGCCACUCCCGGGAAGAAGCCCCAAGCUGCACCCAAGCCUGAAACUGAGUGAUUCUACUUCAAAGGGAAUGGUCACUGGAAGCGGAACUGCCCCAAAUAAUUGGCGGAUAAGAAGGAUGGCAAAGUGAACAAAGGUAUAUUUUAUAUACAUGUUAUUGAUGUGUACUUUACUAGUGUCUAUAGCAACCCCUGGGUAUUUGAUACCGGUUCAGUUGCUAAGAUUAGUAACUUGAAACAGGAGUUGCAAAAUAAAUAGAGACUAGUUAAGGACGAGGUGACGAGGUGUGUUGGAAGUAAUUCCAAGGUUGACGAUCACCACCGCACACUCCCUCUACCUUCAGGAUUAGUGUUGAACCUAAAUAAAUGUUAUUUGGUGUCUGCGUUGAGCAUGAAUAUUAUUAGAUCAUGUUUAAUGCAAUACGGUUAUUCAUUUAAGUCAGAGAAUAAUUGUUGUUCCGUUUACAUGAAUAUAACCUUAUAUGGUCAUACACCCAAUGUGAAUGGUUUAUUGAAUCUCAAUCGUAGUGAUACACAUAUUCAUAAUAUUGAUGACAAAAGAUGCAAAGUUGAUAAUGAUAGUGCAACAUACUUGUGGCACUGCCGUUUAGGUCAUACUGUUGUAAAUCGCAUGAAGACUUUUGGAAUCACUUGAUUAUGAGUCAUUUGAUACUUGCAAACCAUGCCUCAUGGGCAAGAUGUCUAAAACUCCGUUCUCCAGAACAAUGGAGUGAGCUAAUAACUUAUUGGAAGUAAUACAUACCGAUGUAUGCGGUCCAAUGAGUGUUGAAGCACGCGGCGGGUAUCGUUAUUUUCUCACCUUCACAUAUGAUUUGAGUAGGCAUGGGUAUAUCUACUUGAUGAAACACAAGUCUGAAAUGUUUGAAAAAGUUCAAAAGAAUUUCAGAGUGAAGUGGAGAAUCAUCGUAACAAGAAAAUAAAGUUUCUACGAUCUGAUCGCGGAGGCGAAUAUUUGAGUUACGAAUUUGGACUUCAUUUAAAACAAUGUGGAAUUGUUUCACAACUCACGCCACCUGGAACACCACAGCGUAAUGGCGUGUCCGGACGUCGUAACCGUACUUUAUUGUAUAUGGUGCGUUCUAUGAUGUCUCUUACCAAUUUAGCACUAUCGUUUUGGGGUUAUGCAUUAGAGACAGCCGCAUUCACGUUAAAUAGGGCACCGUCUAAAUCCAUUGAGAUGACACCGUAUGAACUAUGGUUUGGCAAGAAACCUAAGCUGUUGUUUCUGAAAGUUUGGGGUUGCGACAAUUAUGUCAAAAGGCUUCAGCCUGAUAAAGCUCGAACCCAAAGCGGAGAAGUGCAUCUUCAUAGGAUACCCUAAGGAAACAAUUGGGUACAACUUCUACCAUAGAUCCGAAUGCAAGAUCUUUGUUGCUAAGAAGGGAUCCUUUCUAGAGAAGGAGUUUCUCUCGAAAGAAGUGAGUGGGAGGAAAGUAGAACUUGAUGAGGUAAUUUUACCUGCUCUCAAUUUGGAAAGUAGCAUAUCAGAGAAAUCCGUUCCCGUGAUGCCUACACCAACUAGAGAGGAAGCUAAUGAUGAUGAUCAUGAAACUUCAGAUCAAGUUACUACUGGACCUCGUAGGUCGAAUAGAGCACGUUCCGCACCAGAGUGGUAUGGUAAUCCUGUCCUGGAAGUCAUGUUACUAGACCAUGGCGAACCUACGAACUAUGAAGAAGCUAUGAUGAGCCUAGAUUCCGAUAGAUGGCUUGAGGUCAUGAAAUCUGAGAUAGGAUCCAUGUAUGAGAACAAAGUAUGGACUUUGGUGGACUUACCCGAUGAUCGGAAAGCCACUGAGAAUAAAUGGAUCUUCAAGAAGAAGACAUACGCUGAUGGUAAUGUCACCAUCUACAAAGCUCGACUUGUUGCGAAAGGUUUUCGACAAGUUCAAGGAGUUGACUAUGAUGAGACUAUCUCACCCGUAGCAAUGCUUAAGUCUGUCCAAAUCAUGUUAGCAAUUGCCGCUUUUUAUAAUUUUGAAAUCUGGCAAAUGGACAUCAAAACUGCAUUCCUUAAUGGAUUUCUUAAAGAAGAGUUGUAUAUGAUGCAACCAGGAGGUUUUGUUGAUCCUAAAGAUGCUAACAAAGUGUGCAAAGCUCCAACGAUCCAUCUAUGGACUGAUCCAUCUAUGAACGAUCCAUCUAUCUUCUUGCUUAUGUUGCAAGGUGUGAAGUUGAGUAAGACUCAAAGCCCGACCACGGCAGAAGAUAGAGAGAGAAUGAAAGUCAUUCCCUAUGCCUCAGCCAUAGGUUCUAUAAAGUAUGCCAUGCUAUGUACCAGACCUAUUGUGUACCUUGCCAUGAGAUUGGCAAGGGGGUACAAUAGCGAUCCAGGAGUAGAUCACUAGACAACGGUCAAAAUUAUCCUUAGUAACCUAAGAGGACUAAGGAAAUAUUUCUCGGUUAUGGUUGUGACACCCGGAUAAUUAAGCUACAGUAACCCUCUGGAAAUGAUGCCACGUCACCUCGGUUAGUGUUGAUAAUCUCACGUUAGUUUGAAACCGAUUCAAAUUCAAAUUCAAAAUCAAGUAAAACGGUAAAAGUUUUCAAACAUUAAAACUAAAAUGUUCGGGUUGUGCCAAAUAAUGCAUAGGUAAUUAUGGUGGAGAAACCACACUUUUAUAAAAUGCUUAAAUACUCCAAAAUGGUUUAAAUAGUAGUUGAAACAAUUAAAUAAUUGCUUUUGAUAUUUUACAAAAUACUAAUCCAUUUUGUUUAAAAAGAAAACUUUUUGUGGUAGUGGGUGGUCAUGAGACACUAAAUUAGGAAUUCACUUUGUGGUAAUGAAACAAAAUUAGUCCAAAGAAAUAAAAGAAAACAGUAAAAGAAAAUAAACAAAAUAUAAAAGGAAAGCAAACAAAAGAACCCCCACCCAUCUGGGCUUCGGCCCAGCUGGCCACUACCCCAGGACGGCCCACACCAACCUACAUGACCCCCUCCCAGCAAACCCUAACUGCUACCCCUCCCACUCACUCACGCACGAUCCCCUCUCCCCUCGCCCCUCCUCUGCUCGAUCCCUUCUUGAUCCAGGGGCUCGCCCUCGACGCCGCUCGACGCCUUCGGCACCACCUCGGCGCUCCGUCGCCCCUUGCCGUCACCGGCAUCACUCGAUGCCCUGAUGCCCCACCCUCCACCUCGACCUCCCCGACUGGAUCUAGGCCGCGCCCAGGGCGGCGGCGCCGCCGCCGCCGCACACCGUCGCUGCCUCGUCCCGCCACUGCUUCGACGGAGCCGCCCACCGUCAUCGCUCGCCGUCGUCCCCGUCUUCCUCCCCGAGCCCCACUGCCCUGUCCCCACGAACGCCGGUGAGGCUUCGCCCUCCCCUUCCCUGCAUCUGCUCGGUGCCGGUCGCGCGCAUGAGCACCACCGCGUCGGCCACGCCGUCGCCCCUAACGGCGCUCGUGUCCCUGGCCGCCCGCUUGCGCGCCAGGCCGAGUCCCCUCCACCCCGCGCACGGCCCGCGUCCUGCGCGCGUGGCAGCACAGGCUCGGNNNNNNNNNNNNNNNNNNNNNNNNNNNNNNNNNNNNNNNNNNNNNNNNNNNNNNNNNNNNNNNNNNNNNNNNNNNNNNNNNNNNNNNNNNNNNNNNNNNNNNNNNNNNNNNNNNNNNNNNNNNNNNNNNNNNNNNNNNNNNNNNNNNNNNNNNNNNNNNNNNNNNNNNNNNNNNNNNNNNNNNNNNNNNNNNNNNNNNNNNNNNNNNNNNNNNNNNNNNNNNNNNNNNCCCCUGCUGCUUCAUCGGCUUGCCCUGCGCCGUCACCUGAACCGCGCCACCUCCGCCCCGUCGUACCGCACCCCUCCUGUCGCCUCGCCUCCCGCCUCGGCUCCGCCGCGCCAGGCUGCGCCGGCGCCGCCCCUCGCCUGCUGCCAGCUCCCGUGCCGCAGCUGCACCCGCUGGCUCUCCGUCCGGGUAGGGCGCCAGCACGCCCCGGCGCCCGUAACCACACGCCCAGUGCCCGCUAAGGCCUUGGGCCAAUGACACGAUGGCCCCACACCCAGAGCGAUUUUAUAAAAACAGGGAUUAAAAAAUAAUAAUAAUAAAUUUAAUUAAUUAAUUAAUUAACUUAAUUAAUCCUGUUUAGUUAACCUAAUUAACUAUUAUUAAUUAAUUAAACAGUAAUUAGAUUAGUUAAAUCCUAAUUAGAAUAAACAGAGUAUGACAUGCGGGACCCACACGUCAGAUUGACCCAGUCAACGCCUUGUUGACUGCUGACAUCAUGCUAACGUCAUGAUGACAUCAGCAGGCACUAUUCUGGAUAAUGUUAGAAUUAAAUAGAUAAAUAAAUUCAGAAAAUUGUUGAAAUCUUUAAAAAUUAAUAUAAAAUAAACCGUAGCUCGGAUGAAAAUACUUUGUACAUGAAAGUUGCUCAGAACGACGAGACUAAUCCGAAUAUGUAGCCCGUUCGUCCACCACACAUCCCUAGCAUAGCGAACAUGUAACUUUCCCCCUCCGGUUCAUCUGUCCGAAAACGCGAAACACCGGGGAUACUUUCCCGGAUGUUUCCCCCUUCGCCGGUAUCACCUCCUACCGCGUUAGGGCACACCUCACACUGCUCAUUGUCAUGUCAUGCAUCGUCAUGCAUAUGUUUGCUUUUAUAUUUAUUGUUUCUUCCCCCUCUUCUCUCGCUAGACACCGAGACCGACGCCGCUGCUACCCAGUACGACUACGGUGUUGACGACCCCUCCUUCUCGGCUGAGCUUCCAGGCAAGCCCCCCUUUGAUCACCAGAUAUCGCCUAUUCCUUCUCUCUACUGCUUGCAUUAGAGUAGUGUAGCAUGUUAUUACUUUCGGUUAAUCCUGUUCUACUGCAUAGCCUGUCAUUGUUGCUACAGUUGUUACCCUUACCUGCAAUCCUAAAUGCUUAGUAUAGGAUACUAGUAUUCCAUCAGUGGCCCUACACUCUUGUCCGUCUGCCAUGCUAUACUACUGGGCCGUGAUCACUUCGGGAGGUGAUCACGGGCAUAUGCUAUAUACUUUAUAUUGUUACAUUACUUAUGAUAUUGUUCGGAGAUGGGGGCUGAAGGGGCAGGUGGCUCCAUCCCGGUAGAGGUGGGCCUGGGUUCCCGGCGACCCCCGACUAUUACUUUAUGGCGGAGCGACAGGGCAGGUUGAGACCACCUAGGAGAGAGGUGGGCCUGGCCCUGGUCGGCGUUCGCGGAUACUUCAAUUAACACGCUUAACGAGAUCUUGGUAUUUGAUCUGAGUCUGGCCACUGGCCUAUACGCACUAACCAACUGCACGGGAACAGUUAUGGGCACUCGACGUCGUGGUAUCAGCCGAAGCCUUCUUGACGUCAGUGACUGAGCAGCGCACGCCGGAUUGGACCGUAAGCCUGCGCUUGUAUUAAGGGGGCUAGGUCUGCUUCCGGCCGCCCUCGCAACAUGCAGGUGUGCAAUGGGCAAUGGGCCCAGACCCCUGCGCCAUAGGAUUUAGACCGGCGUGCUGACCUCUCUGUUGUGCCUAGGUAGGGUUGCGACGUGUUGAUCUUCCGAGGCCGGGCAUGACCCAGGAAAGUGUGUCCGGCCAAAGGGGAUCGAGCGUGUUGGGUAAUGUGGUGCACCCCUGCAGGGAAGUUUAUCUAUUCGAAUAGCCGUGAUCUUCGGUAACAGGACGACUUGGAGUUGUACCUUGACCUUAUGACAACUAGAACUAGAUACUUAAUAAAACACACCCUUCCAAGUGCCAGAUAUAACCCGGUGAUCGCUCUCACACAGGGCGACGAGGGGAGGAUCGCCGGGUAGGAUUAUGCUAUGCGAUGAUACUUGGUGAACUUACCAUCUACUCUCUUCUACAUGCUGCAAGAUGGAGGCUGCCAGAAGCGUAGUCUUCGACAGGACUAGCUAUCCCCCUCUUAUUCUGGCAUUCUGCAGUUCAGUCCACCGAUAUUGCCCCUUUACACAUAUACCCAUGCAUAUGUAGUGUAGAUCCUUGCUUGCGAGUACUUUGGAUGAGUACUCACGGUUGCUUUUCCCCCUCUUUUCCCCCUUUCCUUUCCUCUCGGUUGUCGCAACCAGAUGCUGGAGCCCAGGAGCCAGACGCCACCGUUGACGACGACUCCUACUACACUGGAGGUGCCUACUACUACGUGCAGGCCGCUGACGACGACCAGUAGUGGUUUAGGAGGAUCCCUCGAGGCCCCUGGCUUGUAUUAUGAUGCUUGUAUGACUUAUUUAUGUUUUAGAGUUGUGUUGUGAUAUCUUCCCGUGAGUCCCUGAUCUUGAUCGUACACGUUUGCGUGCAUGAUUAGUGUACGAUCGAAUCGGGGGCGUCACAAUGGUGGUGAUAAAGAGUUCGUCGUAAAGGGUUACGUCGAUGCAAGCUUUGACACCAAUUCAGAUGACUCUGAGUCUCAAUCUGGAUACAUAUUGAAAGUGGGAGCAAUUAGCUAGAGUAGCACCAUACAGAGCAUUGUAUACAUAAAAAUUUGCAAAAUAUAUACGGAUCUGAAUGUGGCAGACCCGUUGACUAAACUUCUCUCACAAGCAAAACAUGAUCAUACCUUACUACUCUUUGGGUGUUAAUCACAUGGCGAUGUGAACUAGAUUAUUGACUCUAGUAAGCUCUUUUGGAUAUUGGUCACAUGGCGAUGUGAACUAUGGGUGUUAAUCACAUGGUGAUGUGAACUAGAUUAUUGACUCUAGUGCAAGUGGGAGACUGAAGGAAAUAUGCCCUAGAAGAAAUAAUAAAGUUGUUAUUUCGUAUUUCCUUAUUCAUGACAAAGGUUUAUUAUUCAUGCUAGAAUUGUAUUGAUCGGAAACUUAAAUACAUGUGUGAAUACAUAAACCAAUACCGUGUCCCUAGUAAGACUCUACUAGACUAGCUCGUUGAUCAAAGAUGGUUAAGGUUUCCUAACCAUGGACAUGGGUUGUCAUUUUGAUAACGGGAUCACAUCAUUAGGAUAAUGAUGUGAUGGACAAGACCCAUUCGUUAGCUUAGCAUAAUGAUCGUUCAGUUUUAUUGCUAUUGCUUUCUUCAUGUCAAAUACUUAUUCCUUCGACUAUGAGAUUAUGCAACUCCCGGAUACCGGAGGAAUACCUUGUGUGCUAUCAAACGUCACAACGUAACUGGGUGAUUAUAAAGAUGCUCUGCAGGUAUCUCCGAAGGUGUUUGUUGAGUUGGCAUAGACCGAGAUUAGGAUUUGUCACUCCGAGUAUCGGAGAGGUAUCUUUGGGCCCUCUUGGUAAUACACAUCAUAAUCUUGCAAGAAAAUGACUAAGGAUUUGGUCACGAGGUGAUGUAUUACGGAAUGAGUAAAGAGACUUGCCGGUAACGAGAUUGAACUAGGUAUAGAGAUGCCGACGAUCAAAUCUCGGGCAAGUAACAUACUGAUGGACAAAGGGAAUUACGUAUGUUGUCAUAACGGUUCGACCAAUAAAGAUCUUCGUUGAAUAUGUAGGAGCCAAUAUGGGCAUCCAGGUUCUGCUAUUGGUUAUUGACCGGAGAGGUGUCUUGGUCAUGUCUACAUAGUUCUCGAACCCGUAGGGUCCGCACGCUUAACGUUCGAUGUCGAUUUGGUAUUAUAUGAGUUAUGUGGUUUGGUGACCGAAUGUUGUUCCGAGUCCCGGAUGAGAUCACGGACAUGACGAGGAGCUCUGGAAUGGUCCGAGGUAAAGAUUGAUAUAUAGGACGAUGCUAUUUGGUCUCUGGAAAGGUUAUGGAAUGCAUUGUAAAGUUGUCGGAAUACCGGAAGGGGUUCCGGAGGCACCGGGAGAGUAUCGGGCCUUAUUGGGCCAUGUAGAGGGAACACACCAGCCCACAUGGGCUGGUGCGCCCCCCCCCCCCUAGGGCAGCCAUGCCCAAUUAGAUGGAGGGGGAGGCGCCACCUCCUCCUACCAUAUCUCCGGUAGGGAGAAAGGAAAGAGAAGGGGCGCCUUCCCCCUUUCCUUCUUCCUUGUGCAUUAUAUGGAAGGAGGGCGCACCACUAGGAAAACCCUAGGGUGGCCGCCGGCCCUAUUGGAGGCGCCCUAGGGCUGCCUCCUCCCCUCCCACACCUAUAUAUGUGGGGAGGGUGCCACACAAUACACAGCUUAUUCCACGCCGUGUGUCGGCACCCCUCCGCCUCUAGUUUACUCCUCCAUUCUAGAUCAUUGCAGUGCUUAGGCGAAGCCCUGCGGGAUUGCUACACCACCACCGUCACCACGCCGUUAUGCUGACGAAACUCAUCUAAUACCUCGCCCCGCUUGCUGGAUCAAGAUGGCAAGGACGACACCGAGUUGAACGUGUGCAGAACGUGGAGGUGUCGUGCGUUCGAUACUUGAUUGGGCGGAUCACGAAGGUGUACGACUACAUCAACCACGUUGAAUAAACGCUUCCGCUUACGGUCUACGAGGGUACGUAGACACACUCUCCCCCUUGUUGCUAUGCAUCUCCAUGGAUAGAUCAUUGUGUGUGCGUAGAAUUUUUUUGUUUUCCAUGCAACGAUUCCAAAUAGUCUUCGGCAAAGUCCAUCUUGACUACGCCGGAGUUCGAGGCUUUCGAAGUCCUUCCUUGUGAGAUCGGUGGGCCAUAAGCUCGACCCAUGGACUGCGGGCCAACUAGGUUGAUACCCCUUAGUGCAGGACACCUUCAAUGGUCAUACCAGCCUUUCCGUCACAGUCACUUGCCAAACUUUAUCAUUAUUACUCACUUGCUUCAAAUGAAUAUUUCCAAAAGAUAACAUGCAAGUGAAGCCGGGACCAUGGUCUAGGAGUUAUCAUCUGAAAGGCAAAAUAGCUAUAAGAAGACAAGGGAAGUCUUUUUGGGGUUUUCUGGUUUUAUAAAGAUCAAGAAGCUUAAGUACAAAGAAGAAAAAAAAGAGCGAAAAUAACACUAACAACAGCAAAGAGCCAAGGAGAGUCAAAGAAAACCCAUAAGAGCAAAUAAAGAGAAAUAUUUUUUUGAUGUUUUUGUUUCUUUAAAGAAAGACAAGAAGCAAAGAGAAAGCACAAAACCCAAAAAGAAGCAAAGAAAUACUAAAAAGAGCCAAAGAGAAAGUGGCAAAGAGAGAGUAGACAAAACAAAUAUAUUUUUAUUUUUUGAAGGGCAUAAAAAACAAUAAGAAAGCGAAACAAAUAAGAAAUAUUUUUUGAGAUAUUCUCAAACUUUAGAAUAGCAAGCAAAACCAAAGAAACGACAAAAAAUGAUAUCUUUUUGUUGUUUUCAAAAGAUCAAGAAGCAAACCAAAAAGAGCUAGAGAAGAAAGAAUGUAAUAUUUUUGGAGUUUUGUUUAUAAAAUAACAACAGAAACCAAACAAGAAUAAACAUGAGCUAAUAAUAGACAAGGUGAAAGAAAAAAAGAAAACAUUUUCGGUGUUUUUCAAAGGAUGUGAGCGUAGGUAAGAAGAUCAAUAAAAAGAGGAAAUAGAAAAGAAGACCAAAAAAUAUGAAAAUACAAAUGUAAAAAAAAUCAACUCCACAAGGAACCCUGACAGAAAAAACUUUAAAUCACAAAAAAAAACUAUUUGGAAAAAUACAAUGCCAAAUGAUAUGAACAGAAAAAGUAAAAAAAGAGUUGUCCGGAGUAAAAAAAAGAGGAAUAUGGUUCCAUAUAUACAUACAUGCAUGUGAAAUAAUCAUGAUCAUCGAGUAUUCGAAAUAAUUUAUACAUAAAGAAACAAAAAACAAAAAAUAAAUAAAAGGAAAACAUAAAAAAAUCAAUGAAAAAGGAGGAACAAAACAAAACAAAAACCCGCCCAGAACCAAGACAAAAGAAAACAGGCAUACAUGCUCGCACUCCGACACUCCACAUUCGGUCCAUUAAUUGAUAAAUAAACCAAAGUACACUAUGCUGCUACAAAACCUACAGGCCUUGUACAGCUCGUUGGCUCAACAAAGCCCAUAUCCAUUGGCCUUCUCACGUACGUAUACGGGAAUCAGCCAUAUAAAAAAACUAAGUCAUGAACAGAUCUUGAUGCAUCAAUCCAAACUGACGUGUACACCACUAGAGAAGGCGCAGGUGAAGGACAGCCGUGGCACCGACAGCGCAACCUCCUCGGCAUACGGCAGAGGGAUCUUCGUCAAUGACUUGUCGGUCGAGGUCCAGUUCAGCGACUCCAGCUCCACGCCGGCAUAUCCGACUACAAGCUCGGCGCCUUGGUUGUGGCAGCGGAGCUCGGGUAGGCCAGAGCUCGGACUGCGCACGAUCCUGCCGGCCAGAUGGAAGUAGUUGAGGAAUGACGGCAACCGAGCCUCGAAAGCCUCGACGACGUCAUUUAAGUCGCCGGAAGAAGGUCUGGGAUAGGCGCAUGUCAUUGACAUUUGUUCGUCGGAGAGAAGGUCGAGAUUGGAGAAGGCAACCACGGUCGCCUCAACGGAGGGAUCAGAGGCCUUCACGAGGCGGCGGAUCACCACACGGAUGGGCAGGCCAGGGACUUCGUCGACCCACUUAGGCGCCGCCAUAGUUCUUGCUUAAGUAUGACACUAUGGACUAUGAUAUGUGAGCAGCGACGCGGCUGUCAUAUUAUGUACCAUAGCAAUCUAAUACUCCCUCCGUAAAUAAAUAUAAGAGUGUUUAGAUCACUAAAAUAGUGAUCUAAACACUCUUAUAUUUCUUUACAGAGGGAGUAUAAGAGUAUUCUAAAUGCUCUUAUAUUUUUUUAUAGAUGGAGUAAAUAAUCCAACCCUUUGCAUUAAAAGAAUGUAAUCAAGGGGAGUUUUUUUUUCUUUCUCUCUCUGCAUCCCAUCAAUCUCAUGGAUGGACAUAUACCAGGGAGAAAAUGAAGUGUAUAGCUACAUGCACGCAUGGACACUGACCGGGGACAUCCACGGGCAUUUAGGGGGGCUGAUUUGCUAAGUCCAGCUGUAGAUGCUCUGACAGCAAUANNNNNNNNNNNNNNNNNNNNNNNNNNNNNNNNNNNNNNNNNNNNNNNNNNNNNNNNNNNNNNNNNNNNNNNNNNNNNNNNNNNNNNNNNNNNNNNNNNNNNNNNNNNNNNNNNNNNNNNNNNNNNNNNNNNNNNNNNNNNNNNNNNNNNNNNNNNNNNNNNNNNNNNNNNNNNNNNNNNNNNNNNNNNNNNNNNNNNNNNNNNNNNNNNNNNNNNNNNNNNNNNNNNNNNNNNNNNNNNNNNNNNNNNNNNNNNNNNNCUGUUAGUGUCAAAAAUGAGCUUAUAUUUUGAGACGGAAGGAGUAGAACGCUGACCAAGACAUGUAUUUAUAGAGCAUAAUCUAAGAUACCGGCAUGGUACAUACAUAACAUGGAUAGUGUCAACAACGAUGAACAUCAGGUAGCUCUAAAAGUUUAGUCAAGAUCCUAGCAAACACCAACAGUUAAAACGGGGACAUCGCAUCAUGCAGCCACAAGGAUGAUAAAUCAGGUUAACUGAUCUCGCUUCCGCCGCAGGAUUAUUGCAGCCCAGGUUUGUCCAUAACCCCAAGAGCUUCUCCACUGAUGCUGCAGCUCCAUGAGGAACCGAACGGACGGC